UACGUAGGUGGCUAGCGUUGUCCGGAUUUACUGGGCGUAAAGCGCGCGCAGGCGGUCGUCCAAGUCGAGUGUGAAAGCCCCCGGCUCAACUGGGGAGGGUCACUCGAUACUGAUCGACUUGAAGGCAGAAGAGGGAAGCGGAAUUCCCGGUGUAGUGGUGAAAUGCGUAGAUAUCGGGAGGAACACCAGUGGCGAAGGCGGCUUUCUGGUCUGUUCUUGACGCUGAGGCGCGAAAGCUAGGGUAGCAAACGGGG
rnacentral:rRNA from 1 species